CCUACGGGGGGCAGCAGUGGGGAAUAUUGGACAAUGGGCGCAAGCCUGAAACAGCCAUACCGCGUGGGUGAAGAAGGCCUUCGGGUUGUAAAGCCCUUUUGUUGGGAAAGAAAUCCAGCCGGCUAAUACCUGGUUGGGAUGACGGUACCCAAAGAAUAAGCACCGGCUAACCUCGUGCCAGCAGCCGCGGUAAUACGAAGGGUGCAAGCGUUACUCGGAAUUACUGGGCGUAAAGCGUGCGUAGGUGGUUAUUUAAGUCCGUUGUGAAAGCCCUGGGCUCAACCUGGGAACUGCAGUGGAUACUGGAUGACUAGAAUGUGGUAGAGGGUAGCGGAAUUCCUGGUGUAGCAGUGAAAUGCGUACAGAUCAGGAGGAACAUCCAUGGCGAAGGCAGCUACCUGGACCAACAUUGACACUGAGGCACGAAAGCGUGGGGAGCAAACAGGAUUAGAUACCCUGGUAGUCCACGCCCUAAACGAUGCGAACUGGAUGGUGGGGUGCAAUUUUGGCACGCAGUAUCGAAAGCUAACGCGUUAAGUUCGCCCGCCUGGGGGAGUACGGUCGCAGGACUGAAACUCAAAGGAAAUUGACCGGGGGCCCCCCACAAGCGGGGGGAG
rnacentral:rRNA from 1 species